GGGGGCCAUCCCGGCUUACCAACCCGAUGCAAACUGCGAAUACCGGAGAAUGUUAUCACGGGAGACACACGGCGGGUGCUAACGUCCGUCGUGAAGAGGGAAACAACCCAGACCGCCAGCUAAGGUCCCAAAGUCAUGGUUAAGUGGGAAACGAUGUGGGAAGGCCCAGACAGCCAGGAUGUUGGCUUAGAAGCAGCCAUCAUUUAAAGAAAGCGUAAUAGCUCACUGGUCGAGUCGGCCUGCGCGGAAGAUGUAACGGGGCUAAACCAUGCACCGAAGCUGCGGCAGCGACACUGUGUGUUGUUGGGUAGGGGAGCGUUCUGUAAGCCUGUGAAGGUGUGUCGUGAGGCAUGCUGGAGGUAUCAGAAGUGCGAAUGCUGACAUAAGUAACGAUAAAGCGGGUGAAAAGCCCGCUCGCCGGAAGACCAAGGGUUCCUGUCCAACGUUAAUCGGGGCAGGGUGAGUCGACCCCUAAGGCGAGGCCGAAAGGCGUAGUCGAUGGGAAACGGGUUAAUAUUCCCGUACUUGGUGUUACUGCGAAGGGGGGACGGAGAAGGCUAUGUUGGCCGGGCGACGGUUGUCCCGGUUUAAGCGUGUAGGUGUGUGUUCCAGGUAAAUCCGGUUCACUUUAACACUGAGGCGUGACGACGAGGCACUACGGUGCUGAAGCAACAAAUGCCCUGCUUCCAGGAAAAGCCUCUAAGCAUCAGGUAACAUCAAAUCGUACCCCAAACCGACACAGGUGGUCAGGUAGAGAAUACCAAGGCGCUUGAGAGAACUCGGGUGAAGGAACUAGGCAAAAUGGUGCCGUAACUUCGGGAGAAGGCACGCUGACACGUAGGUGAAGUGAUUUACUCAUGGAGCUGAAGUCAGUCGAAGAUACCAGCUGGCUGCAACUGUUUAUUAAAAACACAGCACUGUGCAAACACGAAAGUGGACGUAUACGGUGUGACGCCUGCCCGGUGCCGGAAGGUUAAUUGAUGGGGUCAGCGCAAGCGAAGCUCCUGAUCGAAGCCCCGGUAAACGGCGGCCGUAACUAUAACGGUCCUAAGGUAGCGAAAUUCCUUGUCGGGUAAGUUCCGACCUGCACGAAUGGCGUAAUGAUGGCCAGGCUGUCUCCACCCGAGACUCAGUGAAAUUGAACUCGCUGUGAAGAUGCAGUGUACCCGCGGCAAGACGGAAAGACCCCGUGAACCUUUACUAUAGCUUGACACUGAACAUUGAGCCUUGAUGUGUAG
rnacentral:rRNA from 1 species